AUCCAGACUCCUACGGGAGGCAGCAGUGAGGAAUAUUGGUCAAUGGGAGAGAUCCUGAACCAGCCAAGCCGCGUGAGGGAAGACGGCCCUAUGGGUUGUAAACCUCUUUUGUCGGAGAACAAAACCCGGGACGUGUCCCGGACUGCGUGUAUCCGAAGAAAAAGCAUCGGCUAACUCCGUGCCAGCAGCCGCGGUAAUACGGAGGAUGCGAGCGUUAUCCGGAUUUAUUGGGUUUAAAGGGAGCGUAGGUGGAUUGUUAAGUCAGUUGUGAAAGUUUGCGGCUCAACCGUAAAAUUGCAGUUGAAACUGGCAGUCUUGAGUACAGUAGAGGUGGGCGGAAUUCGUGGUGUAGCGGUGAAAUGCUUAGAUAUCACGAAGAACUCCGAUUGCGAAGGCAGCAUACCGGCUCCACACUGACGCUGAGGCACGAAAGCGUGGGUAUCGAACAGGAUUAGAUACCCCGGUAC
rnacentral:rRNA from 1 species